UGGGUUGUCGCCAAGCGGUAAGGCCUCCGGCUCUGAACCGGUAAUCCGUUGGUUCGAAUCCAACCAACCCAGCCA
rnacentral:tRNA from 1 species